GCUUCUUGGAGUGAGUCGAUCCCUCUUCAGCAUGGCUUCAAAUGUCCGGAGGCAUUUAAGUGGGCUAUUCCAUCUACUCUUAUGAGCAAUGCGGUUGUUUAUGUCAUCCAGCGUCCUUAUUAUAUCCCUGAAUGAUGGUCUUCUAAAUGGCUCCUCACUCCAACAUUCCUCUAUUAGCUCCUUUAAUCCAUGCAAAUAACGUUUUGCAGGAGCUCUAAAUGGUGGUCGCUCAUUUGCAGCAUAUGCUUUAGGAACUUCAUUAUCCGGCCUUGUUGAAAAUGGUGGACAGCCUUCAAUCAUCUCUUGUAAUAUCAAAGCAAAAGAAAACACAUCAACUUUAGUGUCAUAUUCUUCAUUUCUGUAGACCUCUGGAGCCACAUAUCGCCAGGAAGUGUCUUGACAUGGUCUGUCUUCCUUAACUGUUUUUGCAACUUUGAGAAGCUUGCUGAC
rnacentral:misc_RNA from 1 species